rnacentral:rRNA from 1 species
UACAGAGGGAUGCUACCGGGCGACCGGAUGCGGAUCUCGAAAGCCUGUCCCAGUUCGGACUGGAGUCUGCAACCCGACUCCACGAAGUUGGAUUCGCUAGUAGUCGCGCAUCAGCCAUGGCGCGGUGAAUACGUUCCCGGGCCUUGUACACACCGCCCGUCAAGCCAUGGGAGCCGGGGGCGCCUGAAGUCCGGGACCGCGAGGACCGGCCUAGGGCGAAACUGGUAACUGGGGCUAAGUCGUAACAAGGUAUC